rnacentral:rRNA from 1 species
ACGCUGGCGGCAGGCCUAACACAUGCAAGUCGAGCGGUAGAGAGAAGCUUGCUUCUCUUGAGAGCGGCGGACGGGUGAGUAAUGCCUAGGAAUCUGCCUGGUAGUGGGGGAUAACGUUCGGAAACGGACGCUAAUACCGCAUACGUCCUACGGGAGAAAGCAGGGGACCUUCGGGCCUUGCGCUAUCAGAUGAGCCUAGGUCGGAUUAGCUAGUUGGUGGGGUAAUGGCUCACCAAGGCGACGAUCCGUAACUGGUCUGAGAGGAUGAUCAGUCACACUGGAACUGAGACACGGUCCAGACUCCUACGGGAGGCAGCAGUGGGGAAUAUUGGACAAUGGGCGAAAGCCUGAUCCAGCCAUGCCGCGUGUGUGAAGAAGGUCUUCGGAUUGUAAAGCACUUUAAGUUGGGAGGAAGGGUUGUAGAUUAAUACUCUGCAAUUUUGACGUUACCGACAGAAUAAGCACCGGCUAACUCUGUGCCAGCAGCCGCGGUAAUACAGAGGGUGCAAGCGUUAAUCGGAAUUACUGGGCGUAAAGCGCGCGUAGGUGGUUAGUUAAGUUGGAUGUGAAAUCCCCGGGCUCAACCUGGGAACUGCAUUCAAAACUGACUGACUAGAGUAUGGUAGAGGGUGGUGGAAUUUCCUGUGUAGCGGUGAAAAGCGUAGAUAUAGGAAGGAACACCAGUGGCGAAGGCGACCACCUGGACUGAUACUGACACUGAGGUGCGAAAGCGUGGGGAGCAAAC